GAUGAACGCUAGCGGCAGGCUUAACACAUGCAAGUCGAGGGGUAUAGUUCUUCGGAAUUAGAGACCGGCGCACGGGUGCGUAACGCGUAUGCAAUCUACCUUUCACAGAGGGAUAGCCCCAGAGAAAUUUGGAUUAAUACCUCAUAGUAUAGCAGUUUCGCAUGAAACCACUAUUAAAGUCACAACGGUGAAAGAUGAGCAUGCGUCCCAUUAGCUAGUUGGUAAGGUAACGGCUUACCAAGGCAACGAUGGGUAGGGGUCCUGAGAGGGAGAUCCCCCACACUGGUACUGAGACACGGACCAGACUCCUACGGGAGGCAGCAGUGAGGAAUAUUGGACAAUGGGCGCAAGCCUGAUCCAGCCAUGCCGCGUGCAGGAUGACGGUCCUAUGGAUUGUAAACUGCUUUUACACAGGAAGAAACACUACUUCGUGAAGUAGCUUGACGGUACUGUAAGAAUAAGGAUCGGCUAACUCCGU
rnacentral:rRNA from 1 species